GAGUUUUGAUCCUGGCUCAGGAUGAACGCUGGCGGCGUGCUUAACACAUGCAAGUCGAACGAUGAAGCCCUGCUUGCAGGGUGGAUUAGUGCGAACGGGUGAGUAACACGUGAGUAACCUGACCCCCGACUCUGGGAUAAGCCCGGGAAACUGGGUCUAAUACCGGAUAUGACUUCCUACUGCAUGGUGGGUUGUUGAAAGAGUUUAUCGGUCGGGGGAUGGACUCGCGGCCUAUCAGCUUGUUGGUGAGGUAAUGGCUCACCAAGGCGACGACGGGUAGCCGGCCUGAGACGGGUGACCGGCCACACUGGGACUGAGACACGGCCCAGACUCCUACGGGAGGCAGCAGUGGGGAAUAUUGCACAAUGGGCGGAAGCCUGAUGCAGCGACGCCGCGUGAGGGAUGACGGCCUUCGGGUUGUAAACCUCUUUCAGUAGGGAAGAAGCGAAAGUGACGGUACCUGCAGAAGAAGCGCCGGCUAACUACGUG
rnacentral:rRNA from 1 species